rnacentral:rRNA from 1 species
ACCCUUUUAGUAACGGCGAGUGAAGCGGCAAAAGCUCAAAUUUGAAAUCUGGUACCUUCGGUGCCCGAGUUGUAAUUUGGAGAGGGCAACUUUGGGGCCGUUCCUUGUCUAUGUUCCUUGGAACAGGACGUCAUAGAGGGUGAGAAUCCCGUGUGGCGAGGAGUGCGGUUCUUUGUAAAGUGCCUUCGAAGAGUCGAGUUGUUUGGGAAUGCAGCUCUAAGUGGGUGGUAAAUUCCAUCUAAAGCUAAAUAUUGGCGAGAGACCGAUAGCGAACAAGUACAGUGAUGGAAAGAUGAAAAGAACUUUGAAAAGAGAGUGAAAAAGUACGUGAAAUUGUUGAAAGGGAAGGGCAUUUGAUCAGACAUGGUGUUUUGUGCCCUCUGCUCCUUGUGGGUAGGGGAAUCUCGCAUUUCACUGGGCCAGCAUCAGUUUUGGUGGCAGGAUAAAUCCAUAGGAAUGUAGCUUGCCUCGGUAAGUAUUAUAGCCUGUGGGAAUACUGCCAGCUGGGACUGAGGACUGCGACGUAAGUCAAGGAUGCUGGCAUAAUGGUUAUAUGCCGCCCGUCUUGAACCACCGGACCA